CAGCCGCCGCGGUAAAACGAAGGGGGCUAGCGUUGUUCGGAAUUACUGGGCGUAAAGCGCACGUAGGCGGACAUUUAAGUCAGGGGUGAAAUCCCGGGGCUCAACCCCGGAACUGCCUUUGAUACUGGGUGUCUAGAGUAUGGAAGAGGUGAGUGGAAUUCCGAGUGUAGAGGUGAAAUUCGUAGAUAUUCGGAGGAACACCAGUGGCGAAGGCGGCUCACUGGUCCAUUACUGACGCUGAGGUGCGAAAGCGUGGGGAGCAAACAGGAUUAGAUACCCCCGUAGUCCCUGUCUCUUAUAC
rnacentral:rRNA from 1 species